CUAUCACCUUCCUGGCUAAUCUUUAUUACCCUCCAUGCCCUGCAUCUUGGGCUCCACUGAGAGCUUUGCUGGGAGUAUGCAUGCAAGCAUCUUUCUCUCAUAAACUGUACUGCCUUUUGGAUGCCUGAGUUCACACUAUUUCCAUAACUGCCCAUCCCUGAAAUAGAUGAACACUGGCCUUCUCCCUAGUUUAAAACUUGGGUUAUUAGACUCCUUGGGUCUAUCUUAGCUUCUCUCCCUGUUUCAGUUUGGAUUUUCUACCUCCAUUUGGCUUCUCUAUCUCUAGCAUCAUACCUCCCUGAUGAUCCGUGGUAGUGGCGGUAAUCCAUUUAUGAAAAACAAGACAACAUAGAUUCAAGGAGUCAAAUACACACAUACACACACACACGCACGCACACAUGCAUGCACACAAGCAACGAAGAUGGAAUAGCAGAGAGUACACCAGACAAGAAGCCGUAAGUGUCGGUUCUAGUUCCAAUUCCUCUCCACUGCAGCAUCUCAGAUGUAAACUGGCGUCAGUAACAGGUCCUGUCAUUCACCUCCCAGGAAAACUGUCAAAGAUAAUAGUUAUGGCCAGGCGUGGUGGCUCACGCCUGUAAUCCCACCACUUUUGGGAGGCCGAGGCAGGCGGAUCACCCGAGAUCGGGGAGUUUGAGACCAGUCUGACCAACAUGGAGAAAUCUCGUCUCUACUAAAAA